ACGAGUGUAGCUCAGCUGGUAGAGCGUCGGUCUCCAAAACCGAAAGUCGCAGGUUCGAGUCCUGCCACUCGUGCCA
rnacentral:tRNA from 3 species